UAUCGCCACCUAGCGAGCACCUAUUCAAUUUCAAAGAAAGAGGGUUUUAGUACUACUGGUGGCUAUAUACUAUGGAUUAUUCCGUUAUUUAAUGAAUUAACUAUCAUUACUGCGAUAACUUCGCACUACACUGAAUGCUAGUGAAUACUUACAUCAUACGUACCUUGAUGGUGCGAAAGAAUAAAAUGUCCUACAGAAACGUUCAACCUAUGAUCAGCUUUGCCAGCACAUAUUAUUCUGGCCCCUCAAGAAAUGACUUUUUGUUUGUGUGUGAAACAUGGUAAAUAGCACUUGGUCAUGUCGUGUAUACUUUUGACAAGUGUCGCAGUUAUUUCCACAUAUUAUAAAUAGGGUCCCGCCUUUUUAGUUUGAACUAAAAAAGAGCAAAUAGACGCAUGCCAAUAAAUUUUUUGACUGUUUUGUUUUAAGAGAAAAAUGCUGAUGGUGUGUCUGUACAGAUGACGAUCCAGUAUGUGUAAAAUAUUAAAAGCUGUCCAGGGCACAGACGGGGAAUAUAAAGGGCUGACCUGUUCCUUCCCAUUAUAACUGUAGAUUUAUUUUGUGUCCCCCUUAGGAUGGCAUACUGGAUCAGGUUGUUACAAAAUUUUGUAUGUACUGCUUACCUAGCAUGAAAGAAGCUGUGCGCCCUCACACAUUCUGGCACUAUAUGCUAUAGCCUCGCCUUCACCCGUUUGUUCAUUGUUACCUAUGCUGCAUGGCGAGCCAACUCUGAGGAGGUAUUCGAUAUGCCCAGAGUAGGAACACUCAGCUAUUUCUGACAAGAACUUAUGCAAGUAUGCCUGGAGUUUCUGCAAAUUUUUGUAAGAGCAGGUCCUAGAUUAGGCUGCCUUUCUAUUUGAAAAUAGAAAGAAGGAAAGAGGAAAAGGUCUCUUGUGGUCUGAUUUAAUCAGGCAGCAAAUUUGUCCUAUAAUAAACACUGAAAACGUGGAACCCUAAUUAUAAAGUACUACCACACUGCAUGAUGUGCAUUCCUAGGCUGAACAUAGCUAUGUUUGGUACACUUAUCAUCUAUGAACGAAAUACCAGUGAGGGCCACUAACUACUUCUACAGUAGUUUAACUAUAACUACUAACUACUUUGUGACUGAGUAGUUUAACUAGUAGUUCAACUACUUUUCGGGGGAGUAGUUAAAACUACUAUUUUAACUACUGCAAUGUAGUUUAACUAAUCUAUAACUACUUAACAUUGUCCACCAACACCAAUCCCUUGUUGUGUUCUUGGACACCUAAAUAUGAAUCACAAGCAAUAAUAAACUUUGGCUCAAGCCAUUGCUACGACUGUCAAAUACAAAGCUUGCGGCGGGAUUCUUUCUGUGCCUACGCGAUAAACUAAGCUGCAGAAUUAUUUCACAGCAAAUCAAAUGAGGCUUCACUAGACAAGCAUUAAGAGUGAAGAUUUAGUAUACAUGCAUGACACAAUUGCUCUGCACCUCCGUUCUCAUCAAACAAGUAGCUCAAGGUAAAAGUCUGAAGCACAAUCGUACCGUAAAGCUUGCGGCAAAAUCGGAAGUAGUUGGCACCUUCAGUAACCUAACUACUGUAGUUAAGUACUUAAAAUAGUAGUUUAACUAGUAGUUGCCACUAAAUUUCUGCAAGUAGUUGAUAACUACUUUUUAACUACAAUCAGGUAGUUUAACUAGUAGUUUAACUAUAUGUAGUUAACUACUGGCCAUCACUGCAAAAUACUGCAGUCAACACCUGUUCUGGUCCGGCGCUCUGACCCCUAGCUAAAUGCUGGAGCUUCCAAAUUUUCAAAUUUGUCUUCUCAUCUUCCCAGUGUGAUAUUGUCCAUGCUGUGGUGCUAUCUGACUGCCAGUUCCAUAGUUGAAAAGGAUUGGCAACAAUUGGAGUUCGUAAGGAGUCAUCACAAAACUGAGUCAUGGUCAUGAACAGACACUGAACUGGCUCAAGAAAAAGUGAGAAACAAUUUGAACGUAACAACACAGUCAUUACAAAUUCUAUGGCAUGCACAAAACAGUUGCCAGUUCUGCUAAUAGCUAGUGUCCACCAUAACGAUUUUUCUUACAAAACAAACACUUAUCAGUCUUCAAUGUUUACUUGAUUGUGCCUGUGCACAUAUUUUUAUAUUUGUGAGCAUGAACAUAUGGAAAGUUUCCAUGUGAAGCUGUGACUUGCAUAGAUAUGCAUUUAAAUACUACUACUUUAUAGAAAUGUUACCGUAUUCCCUGGCUUCACCCGGCAUGCUGCAAAACUGUAGGAAGUCCAGCUUUGAGGUUUCCAAAAGCUGGCCUUCAGCGGCAUGCCGCAAAAUUCGAAGUCCAAAAAAUUCAACGUCCGAUAAUGGGCCUUAGCUUUGUUCCAUCAGCCACCACACUUAAUACGAUCUUAGCUUCACUUUUCCUUUGAGGUCGAAUGUCCAGUUUUGUGGCAAGUCGAACCAAGGAGGCCUCCUCCACAUUUCUUGUGCGAAAUGCCGGUAUGCCUUCAAUGGCAGAGUUAUGGAAGGCAAAGAAUUUACGACACAACGAAUGGGCAUUCUCUGGCACUUUCUGUGGUACACUUGUCACAGCUCUGCUCAUAAUAUUGUGCCUCUUCGAAAAAAGUUCCACAUGUCCGCUCACCAUCUAUAGCCAAUGUUUCUGAUGCUGCUGUCUGAGGCCUAUUGUCACAAAAGCGGUCUCUGCCGUCCAUCUCUGUUGCUUCUUGUGCUAGCACGGCACUUGAAAGGCGAAACAGUGAGGUACCUUCCCAACCCUUUUGUGCGUGGCAUUUAACCUAGAUGUGCUAACGUGUUGGCAUGGGUCACACAUAGCCAUUCCUAGGGGUAAUGCUCUUUGUAAGGAACCUUUUGGGAUGCUUGCUACUUUAUCAGUUAUCACCAAAAAAAGUUAACCUCGAAUUUUAUGGCAUGCCGCAAAAUACAGGGUUUUCUGGCAUGCUGGUCUCCCGAUUGUAUGCAGCACGCUGGCUGAUGUGGGGGAAUACUGUAUUCCUUUUCUGAGCACUUCGCUAAGCUGGGCUAUCUAAAUAUUGUAAGUUGUAACAAACACUAUGGUUUUCUGUUUCACACAAAUUCUGUAUGCUCUGGUAAAUUGUUGGUAAACUUUGCAAAAUCCCCAUGAAUUUCCCCAAACCGAAUCCUCGGAGAAAUCUAUACUGUACUGAUAAUGCUUAGCUCAUCUACUGCAACUGCCUUUCUCUAAUAAGCCCAGUACAAUAAGACUUUGCAUGAUAAAAUGCUAAAGGUAUGGACUGAAAGUAUAGUCCACAGUCCCUCUUUCUCUCUCAGCAAGAUGAAAAAAUGACGAUUUGGAUUUUUUUACUGUCACGGAAGAUAUGAAACGUUGGACAUAAAAUACGUUUCUUACCUGAUCGAUUGAUAAAUAGCACGAGCUUUCCACCUGUCAGUUGACAGCAGUUGACCAAGCAUAGCCUGGGAGGCUCCCACAGACGACACCUGAAACUCAAUUACUUUGCCCAGAUUUGUACCCUGCUAAAAUACCCAUUUACUAACUGUUUGUUCAUGAGCAUCAUAAAGCACUUCAGCCCUUCAUGGGUGUUUAUACUAUACGCCCCUUACUGCUCUGCGAAAAAUUAAUGUCAAUUCUUCGCAAGUCAAUUGUGAAUGCAAGUUUGCCACUGAAAUAUUACAACAUAUUUGAAGUUUAUAAUUUUGAUGGUGCAGAUUCUUCUUUGGUAUCUUUUGUGUUGCACGGGUACUGGAUUCCAACCCAUCUGCAUUAUAAUGUUCUUGCCCAGAAAGAAAAAAGUAUAAGUUCAUCAUGGAAAUGCAGAUGUCAGUCUGCACUAUCUACAGGCUUAUAAAUUCCUGUUGAAUAAGUAGUACUACAGUUGUUGACUGUAAGCUUGUCACCUGUGAACUGCAAGAGCUCUUGCAAUGAUUUAAACAGAAUUUUCCUGCA